rnacentral:lncRNA from 1 species
GAAUGAUUUGUUUUUGCUUUUGGUUUUGGCAUUAUACCAAGUUUGUGCUUGAAGUUCCUACACAAUGCGGGAGAAGACAUAAUUAUAAUGAAAGUAGGUAACAAAUAAAUAAUACAAACAAAUAAUUAUAAUGAAAGUAGAUAACAAAUAAAUAAUACAAACAAAUAAUUAUAAUGAAAGUAGCUAACAAAUAAUUAUAAUGUAAAUUUGGGUAUAGUACAAACAAAUAAAUAAUAUAUUGUUACCCGAUCCGCUAAAUUUUCCCCACUUCAAAGAUUACUACUAGCUUGUGCCAAGGCAUCUCUCCACACACUAAAUGAUUGGCUAAGUAAUUUCCAACGACUAGACAUCGAUUCUUUGGUUCUUUUCCACCAAUUUUCUCAAGAAAAUUGGUAUGAAUAAGACUCCAUAUUUAUCGCAACUGCAUCUCAUUACCCGUAAUCAGAUCAUGAGUAACUUCAACCAAGCUAGUACACAAUGAAACAUCUUCAAUAAGCGUCCAAUUCGUACCUGCAUCAGUAGUCAUUUUGUUGGAAAAAAAUUGGAUUGAAACUUUGAGAAAAAAGAUAGGAAUGUGGUUGAAAGUAGUUGAGAAAAUAUGAAAUUGUGGUGUAAGGUUGAAGAUAAUGAGAAGGUAUUUAUAGAAAAGUAAAAUCUUUUUUUUU